UACGUAGGGGGCUAGCGUUGUCCGGAAUCAUUGGGCGUAAAGCGCGUGUAGGCGGCCCGGUAAGUCCGCUGUGAAAGUCCAGGGCUCAACCCUGGGAUGCCGGUGGAUACUGUCGGGCUCGAGUCCGGAAGAGGCGAGUGGAAUUCCUGGUGUAGCGGUGAAAUGCGCAGAUAUCAGGAGGAACACCGGUGGCGAAGGCGCACACCUGGCCCGAUACUGACGCUGAGGAGCGAAAGCGUGGGGAGCGAACAGG
rnacentral:rRNA from 1 species